rnacentral:rRNA from 1 species
GUGUCAGCAGCCGCGGUAAUACGUAGGGUGCAAGCGUUGUCCGGAAUUACUGGGCGUAAAGAGUUCGUAGGCGGUUUGUCGCGUCGUUUGUGAAAACCAGCAGCUCAACUGCUGGCUUGCAGGCGAUACGGGCAGACUUGAGUACUGCAGGGGAGACUGGAAUUCCUGGUGUAGCGGUGAAAUGCGCAGAUAUCAGGAGGAACACCGGUGGCGAAGGCGGGUCUCUGGGCAGUAACUGACGCUGAGGAACGAAAGCGUGGGUAGCGAACAGGAUUAGAUACCCUGGUAGUCCACGCCGUAAACGGUGGGCGCUAGGUGUGGGUUCCUUCCACGGAAUCCGUGCCGUAGCUAACGCAUUAAGCGCCCCGCCUGGGGAGUACGGCCGCAAGGCUAAA